rfam:Termite gut metagenome tgut2b_Contig31492, whole genome shotgun sequence.
UCCAUCGCGAGGAGGAAUCUGAAGGACUGGAACCCGUAGGGUUCCCAGAGGCAAAGUCCCGGGCCGACGAACAGAAACCGCAUAUGAGGCAAUGCAAGGCGGACGAGUUUGCAACACAAAACGAAGUCCAAAAGGCCGGGGAGGAAGAAAACAGACUCCGGUUUUACUGCCCGAACCUUGCAGUGUAGAUGCGGCGGCUAUAUGGGAUGAAGGUUAUCGGA